GACGAACGCUGGCGGCGUGCUUAACACAUGCAAGUCGAACGGAAAGGCCCUGCUUUUGUGGGGUGCUCGAGUGGCGAACGGGUGAGUAACACGUGAGUAACCUGCCCUUGACUUUGGGAUAACUUCAGGAAACUGGGGCUAAUACCGGAUAGGAGCUCCUGCUGCAUGGUGGGGGUUGGAAAGUUUCGGCGGUUGGGGAUGGACUCGCGGCUUAUCAGCUUGUUGGUGGGGUAGUGGCUUACCAAGGCUUUGACGGGUAGCCGGCCUGAGAGGGUGACCGGCCACAUUGGGACUGAGAUACGGACCAGACUCCUACGGGAGGCAGAAGUGGGGAAUAUUGCACAAUGGGCGGAAGCCUGAUGCAGCAACGCCGCGUGCGGGAUGACAGCCUUCGGGUUGUAAACCGCUUUCGCCUGUGACGAAGCGUGAGUGACGGUAAUGGGUAAAGAAGCACCGGCUAACUACGUG
rnacentral:rRNA from 1 species